GACCCUUAAACUCCGCAUAAAAAGCGCACUCCUCCUCAAUUUCUCGACGGUGUUUGAUCCGGGCGACGCAUCGAAGAGCCUUCGAUAAAUCUCGUGUCGUCACGAAGCGGGAUUCGGGGAUCAGGAUGAGUCCUGCGAGAUUGUCCGUUGUUAUACCCGUGAUUGGGUUCAUGUUCUUCACGCUGCUGCAGCUGAGUUACGGGCAGAGCAUGGCUCCUUCCCCUGCCCCUCAGGGCCCGUCCAGUAACGGGACCACAAUCGAUCAAGGAGUUGCGUGCUUGCUCCUACUCGUAGCGUUGGUUAUCACGUACCUCGUUCACUAGGGCGCUGACUAUAUGAUUAGCUCUUAGCUAUUAUGAUCGUAUUCUUUAUUCAUCCUUCCUCCGUAUGUAAUUCAUUCGAGGAAUGCUGAUUGCACAGUGCAGUCAUCAGUUGUGUUCAUGCACUAUGCGAUUGGCGUAAUAGAGAGUUCUGAUCUAUUUCAUUCAUUUUCUCUUAUACUUAAAAAGUUAUAUCUCCUUGGUUAA